GCUCAGAACGAACGCUGGCGGCAGGCCUAACACAUGCAAGUCGAGCGAGAUCUUCGGAUCUAGCGGCGGACGGGUGAGUAACGCGUGGGAAUAUGCCCUUCUCUACGGAAUAGCCUCGGGAAACUGGGAGUAAUACCGUAUACGCCCUUUGGGGGAAAGAUUUAUCGGAGAAGGAUUAGCCCGCGUUGGAUUAGGUAGUUGGUGGGGUAAUGGCCUACCAAGCCUACGAUCCAUAGCUGGUUUGAGAGGAUGAUCAGCCACACUGGGACUGAGACACGGCCCAGACUCCUACGGGAGGCAGCAGUGGGGAAUCUUAGACAAUGGGGGAAACCCUGAUCUAGCCAUGCCGCGUGAGUGAUGAAGGCCUUAGGGUUGUAAAGCUCUUUCAGCUGGGAAGAUAAUG
rnacentral:rRNA from 1 species